UUCCAGUGUCAGAUUAUCCAUAGUCUCUCCUGAUUGAAUAACAAGGACCAUCAUCAAUGAAUUUUGAUACCAGAGUACACAUAAUCCAAUCCAGAGCUGGCCACAGAAAACUCUACCUCUGAACAUUGAGAAAAAUACCACUGGUGACACUCCUAAGAUUUACAAGAAUCGAUGCUUGUAAAUUUUUCCUUUAAGAAAUGGUCCCAGAAUGGAGAAGUACAUGCCAUUUUCCAGGCCCCUGGUAACCCAAGAGGAAAUCCAAACAACUGAGCUGUAAAUACUGGUGCCUGCUUCUUGAUAAACACGCCUCUAUCCUGUGAUUACCUCAAAGUUUCCCAAGGCAAAGAAAACUGUUGUCAAAUUCGGACUUGUCUCUUUCCUAAAGUUGAUGGUGAUGGUUUCCAAAUUCCUUGAAGUGCUUCACAUUACAUAAGAAACGGAAAAAUUACUCAACGAUUAGGCAUUAAAAGCAUCGCUUGCUAAAACGUUCUCCUUGGACUACGCUUACCUGAUCUGUGGAUCGGCCCACAUGGGGCCAGCCAAAACAGAGCCUGCGGUGUAUUCCACAGGAUUAUACUCCUGCCAUUCCACAAGCCAGCCCACUUUUUCGUUGGGGACCCGACUACGCUCCACUUUUGACCCAGGGUAA